rnacentral:rRNA from 1 species
UACGGAGGGUGCAAGCGUUAUCCGGAUUCACUGGGUUUAAAGGGUGCGUAGGUGGGCAGGUAAGUCAGUGGUGAAAUCUCCGAGCUUAACUCGGAAACUGCCGUUGAUACUAUUUGUCUUGAAUAUUGUGGAGGUAAGCGGAAUAUGUCAUGUAGCGGUGAAAUGACUUAGAUAUGACAUAGAACACCAAUUGCGAAGGCAGCUUACUACACAACGAUUGACGCUGAGGCACGAAAGCGUGGGGAUCAAACAGG